AUUUAAGGUAUUUUAAAUAAAGAAUUAUGUUUAUAUAGGAGUAAGUAAUAUGUUGAACACUUAAGUUUGAGAUUGUAGUUUAGUUGGUACUGUAAGGGGUAGUUGCGUAGUUGAAAUCAAGAAAAAGUUAAUUUUUGUACCUUUUGUAUCAGGGAUAGCCAAAAUAUUCAGUUUAUGUGUUGAGGUCUCGAAAAGGAAGGAGCUAACAUGUUAUUGUUUUUUAUGUGGAAAAAUGAAAUUACUAAUUGCAUGUUGGUGGUGAAACGCCAGUCGACUUUCGUAUAUCUAGUUUAUUCUGAGACAAAUUUAAUUUGACCCUUUAGAUAAAAAUUGUGGAGGUUAUAUUUCAAGAGGGAUGAGCUUCUUGAAGUAACGGGCAUGACGGCAGAGGUUUCUUUAGCUUUUACUUAGGCUUAAGAUCAGCCAUGUUUUUAAAUCGUUCUAGAUAAUAAGGUUUACUGAUUACUAUUUAUAUGUCGUCUGCUAUUUUGUAGGAAUAAUUUUACUUUAAUUUUUCGUUGUUAAUUUAUAAUGGUUGUAUUAGUAGACUAUUUUGUGAGUCAUAAAAUUACGUGAAUUUUUUAAAGAGCUAUAUAAUUUUAACGACGUAGCAGUUAAGGAACUCGGCAAAUUUUACUUCUGCCUGUUUAUCAAAAACAUGUCUGUGUGGAUGAUGUACACAGUCUGGCCUGCCCCCUGAGAAUUUAAAGGGCCGCGGUAUCUGAACCGUGCUAAGGUAGCAUAAUCAAUAGUCUUUUAAUUGGAGUCUAGUAUGAAUGGUCGGACAGGAGGUAAGCUGUCUUAAUUGAAAAGAUUGAAUUUUACUUUUAAGUGAAAAGGCUUAAAUUAUGUGAUGGGACGAUAAGACCCUAUAAAGCUUUACAUUCUAGUUGUUAGUUGAGGAAGUUAAGGUUUUCUGUUCUUGUCAGCUAGUGUGUUUCGUUGGGGCGACGAAGAUAUAAGAGGUAACUGUUUUUAUUAAAAAAUAGAUAUUUUUAGGAGUACUGAUCCUUAAUAAAGAUUAUAAGAAUAAAGUUACUUUAGGGAUAACAGCGUGAUUUUUCUUGAGAGUUCAUAUCGACAGAAAUAGUUGCGACCUCGAUGUUGAAUUAAGGUUACCCCAAGGUGUAGAAGUUUUGGAGGAGGGUCUGUUCGACCUUUAAAUCCUUACAUGAUUUGAGUUCAGACCGGCGUGAGCCAGGUUAGUUUCUAUCUCUCAUUUUUGUAAUGAUUACUUUAGUACGAAAGGAGAGAGUAGUCGAAAAAUUUUUUUUAAUUUGAUGAACAAUA
rnacentral:rRNA from 1 species